rnacentral:rRNA from 1 species
GACGUAGGGCGCGAGCGUUGUCCGGAUUUACUGGGCGUAAAGAGCGCGCAGGCGGUCGUUCAAGUCGCGUGUGAAAGCCCCCGGCUCAACUGGGGAGGGUCACGCGAUACUGAUCGACUCGAAGGCAGGAGAGGGUAGUGGAAUUCCCGGUGUAGUGGUGAAAUGCGUAGAUAUCGGGAGGAACACCAGUGGCGAAGGCGACUACCUGGCCUGUUUCUUGACGCUGAGGCGCGAAAGCUAGGGGAGCAAACGGG